rnacentral:lncRNA from 1 species
CAAGAAUCCCACCCAAACCCUUACCCUGAAGACUUUUUAUAAUUUUGCAAGACUUUUCUUUCCAUCGACAUGAGUACCAUCAAGGUUUUUCAUAGGUCUUUCCACCGAUACCUAUUUUCUUUAUCAUACUAUUGUUCUUGUGAUACGUAUAUGCUUACGCAAAUCAAAAGAAAAAUGUCAUGUAGGGCAAUCAAUUUGCA